UUUCUAUGACUUUAGCUUUUACAGAGAAUGAUUUACCACAGAUAUCACAGUGAUAUGGUUUCUCGCCUGUAUGAAUACCUUUGUGUCUAGUCAAGUCACUGUUUGCAAAGAAUGAUUUACCACAGAUAUCACACUGAUAUGGUUUUUCUCCUGUAUGAAUGCG